GACAGAGGUCCCGAGCGUUAGGCGGAAUCACUGGGCUUAAAGCGUGUGUAGGCGGCGGCCUAAGUACCUUGUGAAAUCCCACGGCUCACCCGUGGAACUGCUCGGUAUACUGGGUCGCUUGAGCCACUUAGGGGCUACCGGAACAAAUGGUGGAGCGGUGAAAUGCGUAGAUAUCAUUUGGAACGCCAAUGGUGAAAACAGGUAGCUGGGAGUGUGCUGACGCUGAGACGCGAAAGCCAGGGGAGCAAACGGG
rnacentral:rRNA from 1 species